rnacentral:rRNA from 1 species
GAUGAACGCUAGCGGCAGGCUUAAUACAUGCAAGUCGAGGGGCAGCAUGAUUGUAGCAAUACAAUUGAUGGCGACCGGCAAACGGGUGCGGAACACGUACACAACCUUCCAACAAGUGGGGGAUAGCCCAGAGAAAUUUGGAUUAAUACCCCGUAACAUAGCGAUGUGGCAUCACAUUGCUAUUAUAGAUUUUUCGCUUGUUGAUGGGUGUGCGGCUGAUUAGAUAGUUGGUGGGGUAACGGCCCACCAAGUCUACGAUCAGUAGCUGACGUGAGAGCAUGAUCAGCCACACGGGCACUGAGAAACGGGCCCGACUCCUACGGGAGGCAGCAGUAAGGAAUAUUGGACAAUGGACGCAAGUCUGAUCCAGCCAUGCCGCGUGAAGGAUUAAGGUCCUCUGGAUUGUAAACUUCUUUUAUAAGGGACGAAAAAAGGCUUUUCUAAGUCGUCUGACGGUACCUUAUGAAUAAGCACCGGCUAACUCCGUGCCAGCAGCCGCGGUAAAAC